rnacentral:lncRNA from 1 species
UCCAAAUGGGGCGAUGGGGCUUCGUUGGAACCUAUCAUCACAAUAACAUCACAAUUAACUCAAUUCACAUAACUAUAAAUUCUAAAAGCUAUCUCCUAACUAGCUUCCAAUUGCCAUUAAGUGGUUAUCUAUUUUCACUAUCCUAAUCACUCUAAAAUGAAUAAACAACCUCAACUACAAAACACUCACAAGUCUAAUCACUAGCCAUACUUAACACUUAAAAUCAACUAUACUUCAUUACUCACCUUAGUAGCUUUGUAAGUAAAUUCCUUUCCGAGAAUUUUCAAGUUAUCAUAAAAUCUCUCUCUCUCUUUCUCUCUCUAAAACACCUAGCUAGUGAGAAAAGUAUGGGAGGAAGACUUUUUAAGGGUUUUAAGGUGAGAAAGUGAAAGAGCAUGAAAAACCCUAUAACAAGGUGUGUAAAAGCAUGAAAUUUAAAGUUAGUUUGAAAGGGUGAUGGAAGCUUUGAGAGAAGCUUUCAUGGAGGAUGAAUGAAACGUGAGAUGGG